rnacentral:rRNA from 1 species
CCGAAACCGGGCGACCUACCCAUGAGCAGGAUGAAGCGAAAGUAAAAUUUCGUGGAGGUCCGAACCCACGAGCGUUGAAAAGCUCGGGGAUGACUUGUGGGUAGCGGUGAAAUUCCAAUCGAGCCCGGAGAUAGCUGGUUCUCCCCGAAAUAGCUUUAGGGCUAGCCUCAAGGUGAGAGAUACGGAGGUAGAGCACUGAAUGUCCUAGGGGGUAUUGCACCUACCGAAGACUAUCAAACUCCGAAUGCCGUCAUCUUAUACUUGGGAGUCAGACUGUGGGUGAUAAGAUUCAUAGUCGAAAGGGCAACAGCCCAGAUCGUCAGCUAAGGUCCCUAAAUGUAAGUUAAGUGGUAAAGGAUGUGGGAUUGCACAGACAACCAGGAUGUUGGCUUAGAAGCAGCCACUCAUUCAAAGAGUGCGUAAUAGCUCACUGGUCGAGUGAUCCUGCGCCGAAGAUUUCCGGGGCUAAAACUUACUACCGAAGCUACGGCAUCAGUAAUGAUGGGUAGGGGAGCUUCCCAUACGGGUUGAAGCAUGACCGUAAGGACAUGUGGACAGUAUGGGAGUGAGAAUGUUGGCAUGAGUAGCGAGAUGUGGGUGAGAAUCCCACAGGCCGUAAACCCAAGGUUUCCAGGGGAAGGUUCGUCCGCCCUGGGUUAGUCGGGACCUAAGCUGAGGCCGAAAGGCGUAGGUGAUGGACAACAGGUUGAU